ensembl:snRNA U6 U6 spliceosomal RNA
CUCAUAACUGCAUCACAUAAACUGAAAUUAUAUAAUGAUGUAGAAAAGAUUAGUGUGGCCCCUGUGCAAAUAUGACAUGCAAAUUUGUAAAGCAUUUCAUGUUUUU